rnacentral:rRNA from 1 species
GAUGAACGCUGGCGGCGUGCCUAAUACAUGCAAGUCGAGCGAACAGACGAGGAGCUUGCUCCUCUGACGUUAGCGGCGGACGGGUGAGUAACACGUGGAUAACCUACCUAUAAGACUGGGAUAACUUCGGGAAACCGGAGCUAAUACCGGAUAAUAUAUUGAACCGCAUGGUUCAAUAGUGAAAGACGGUUUUGCUGUCACUUAUAGAUGGAUCCGCGCCGCAUUAGCUAGUUGGUAAGGUAACGGCUUACCAAGGCAACGAUGCGUAGCCGACCUGAGAGGGUGAUCGGCCCCACUGGAGCUGGGACCCGGUCCAGCCUCCUACGGGAGGCAGCAGUAGGAAUUCUUCCGCAAUGGGCGAAAGCUUGACGGAGCAACGCCGCGUGAGUGAUGAAGGUCUUCGGAUCGUAAAACUCUGUUAUUAGGGAAGAACAAAUGUGUAAGUAACUAUGCACGUCUUGACGGUACCUAAUCAGAAAGCCCCGGCUAACUACUU